rnacentral:rRNA from 1 species
AUUGAACGCUGGCGGCAGGCCUAACACAUGCAAGUCGGGCGGUAACACAGGAAGCUUGCUUCCGGGUGACGAGCGGCGGACGGGUGAGUAAUGUCUGGGAAACUGCCUGAUGGAGGGGGGAUAACUACUGGAAACGGUAGCUAAUACCGCAUAAUGUCGCAAGACCAAAGAGGGGGACCUUAGGGCCUCUUGCCAUCAGAUGUGCCCAGAUGGGAUUAGCUAGUGGG